rnacentral:rRNA from 1 species
CAGUAGCCGCGGGAAUACGAAGGGGGCUAGCGUUGCUCGGAAUGACUGGGCGUAAAGGGCGCGUAGGCGGUUUGGACAGUCAGAUGUGAAAUUCCUGGGCUUAACCUGGGGGCUGCAUUUGAUACGUUCAGACUUGAGUGUGGAAGAGGGUCGUGGAAUUCCCAGUGUAGAGGUGAAAUUCGUAGAUAUUGGGAAGAACACCGGUGGCGAAGGCGGCGACCUGGUCCAUUACUGACGCUGAGGCGCGAAAGCGUGGGGAGCAAACAGGAUUAGAUACCCGAGUAGUCCCUGUCUCUUAUCC